rnacentral:rRNA from 1 species
CCUACGGGGGGCAGCAGUGAGGAAUAUUGGACAAUGGGCGCAAGCCUGAUCCAGCCAUGCCGCGUGCAGGAUGACGGUCCUAUGGAUUGUAAACUGCUUUUGCACAGGAAGAAACACUCCCUCGUGAGGGAGCUUGACGGUACUGUGAGAAUAAGGAUCGGCUAACUCCGUGCCAGCAGCCGCGGUAAUACGGAGGAUCCAAGCGUUAUCCGGAAUCAUUGGGUUUAAAGGGUCCGUAGGCGGUUUAGUAAGUCAGUGGUGAAAGCCCAUCGCUCAACGGUGGAACGGCCAUUGAUACUGCUAGACUUGAAUUAUAAGGAAGUAACUAGAAUAUGUAGUGUAGCGGUGAAAUGCUUAGAGAUUACAUGGAAUACCAAUUGCGAAGGCAGGUUACUACUUAUGGAUUGACGCUGAUGGACGAAAGCGUGGGUAGCGAACAGGAUUAGAUACCCCGGUAGUC